CAGUCGCCGCGGGAAUACGUAGGGUGCGAGCGUUAAUCGGAAUUACUGGGCGUAAAGCGAGCGCAGACGGUUAUUUAAGCAGGAUGUGAAAUCCCCGGGCUUAACCUGGGAACUGCGUUCUGAACUGGAUAGCUAGAGUGUGUCAGAGGGGGGUAGAAUUCCACGUGUAGCAGUGAAAUGCGUAGAGAUGUGGAGGAAUACCGAUGGCGAAGGCAGCCCCCUGGGAUAACACUGACGUUCAUGCUCGAAAGCGUGGGUAGCAAACAGGAUUAGAUACCCCGGUAGUCCCUGUCUCUUAUAC
rnacentral:rRNA from 1 species